CCUACGGGAGGCAGCAGUGAGGAAUAUUGGUCAAUGGACGAGAGUCUGAACCAGCCAAGUAGCGUGAAGGAUGACUGCCCUAUGGGUUGUAAACUUCUUUUAUAUGGGAAUAAAAUGUUCCACGUGUGGGAUUUUGUAUGUACCAUAUGAAUAAGGAUCGGCUAACUCCGUGCCAGCAGCCGCGGUAAUACGGAGGAUCCGAGCGUUAUCCGGAUUUAUUGGGUUUAAAGGGAGCGUAGGUGGAUUGUUAAGUCAGUUGUGAAAGUUUGCGGCUCAACCGUAAAAUUGCAGUUGAAACUGGCAGUCUUGAGUGCAGUAGAGGUGGGCGGAAUUCGUGGUAUAGCGGUGAAAUGCUUAGAUAUCACGAAGAACUCCGAUUGCGAAGGCAGUUCACUGGACUGCAACUGACACUGAGGCUCGAAAGUGUGGGUAUCAAACAGGAUUAGAUACCCCUGUAGUC
rnacentral:rRNA from 1 species